UGGGCGUAAAGAGCUCGUAGCGGUUUGUCACGUCUGCUGUGAAAUCCCGAGGCUCAACCUCGGGCUUGCAGUGGGUACGGGCAGACUAGAGUGCGGUAGGGGAGAUUGGAAUUCCUGGUGUAGCGGUGGAAUGCGCAGAUAUCAGGAGGAACACCGAUGGCGAAGGCAGAUCUCUGGGCCGUAACUGACGCUGAGGAGCGAAAGCAUGGGGAGCAAACAGGCUUAGAUACCCUGGUAGUCCAUGCCGUAAACGUUGGGAACUAGAUGUGGGGACCAUUCCACGGUGUCCGUGUCGUAGCUAACGCAUUAAGUUCCCCGCCUGGGGAGUACGGCCGCAAGGCUAAAACUCAAAGGAAUUGACGGGGGCCCGCACAAGCGGCGGAGCAUGCGGAUUAAUUCGAUGCAACGCGAAGAACCUUACCAAGGCUUGACAUAUACGAGAACGCGCUGGAAACAGUGAACUCUUUGGACACUCGUAUACAGGUGGUGCAUGGUUGUCGUCAGCUCGUGUCGUGAGAUGUUGGGUUAAGUCCCGCAACGAGCGCAACCCUCGUCCUAUGUUGCCAGCACGUAAUGGUGGGAACUCAUGGGAUACUGCCGGGGUCAACUCGGAGGAAGGUGGGGAUGAGGUCAAAUCAUCAUGCCCCUUAUGUCUUGGGCUUCACGCAUGCUACAAUGGCCGGUACAAUGGGCUGCGAUACCGUAAGGUGGAGCGAAUCCCAAAAAGCCGGUCUCAGUUCGGAUUGAGGUCUGCAACUCGACCUCAUGAAGUCGGAGUCGCUAGUAAUCGUAAUCAC
rnacentral:rRNA from 1 species